CGUUCUCUGUCCUCUCCAUUGAAUGCUUCUCUAGCACGGAAGGCUAGUUUGGAGUAUUUCUCCAGGUCAUUGUGAAUUCUUCCAAAAUUAGGUUUUCCAGGAGCCGUGAAAGGGCGCAUUGUUCGGCGCGCCGUUCAGCUCCUUGCUAAGCCCUGUUCCCGGCUCGGCCUUUGCAUCGGUUCUCUUCUCUUCUCUUCCAGUAACACAAUAGGCACUAUCUUUGCAUACAUCUUCUUGCAGGAAUGUUGUCCAUUUCUUGGGUUCCUGUUUUUAAAAAGUUUUCUCCGUUAUAGAAAACUUGGAAAAGCUGGAGAAAAUAGUAAGGAAAAGGAGUGCCCUGGAGUCCCCCCGAGUGGCUCUGGGCGGGGGGCGCGGGCUGAGCGUGUUGUGGACCGGGAGACCCAGUGGCUUUACCCAGAGCGGCACAUCCACAUGGCCCGGCGAUCCCCGGGGCCGAGCCCGCGGUCCGGCCGCAGACGCCUCCCUCCCCGCGACCCAGACAGCGCUUCCUCCCCCCUCCCCAGCUCUCUGGUGGCCUGCCUCUGCUGUGUGCUUGUCCCCAGACUUCCGGCCACUUCCUUAGGACUCGUUCCUGAGAGGCCAUCAGGGUCAAAAGAUGGAGAAGCUGAGGCCCAGAGAGGUUGAGUAACCAGCUCAAGGUUGCACAGCGAGUAUGUAGCAGUGUUGGGUUUUGAGUCCAGAGUGUCUGGCCCCUGAGUUCGUGCUCUUAAACACAAUUCUCUGCUGCGUGUGGAGCUUGCUUUUUAACAGCCAAGCAGAGCUCCACAGCGUCGUUUAGUCAGCCAUUACCCGAUUGGUGAGUGUCGUGGCUUCCGAUUUUCUGAAACAAUCGGGGGUGGAUCCAGGUUUUGUGGGGCCUGAAGCUCCUACAAUUUUGGGGGCCCUCUUUGGGAAAAACUACAGAACUGCAAACACAAGUAGGGGCGGGGCCUGAACAAGCCAGGGGGCCUGAGGCUCCGGCGGCCGGAGCAUCGCGGGACACCCGCCUUUGCCGCCCGGACCGCAGGGCCCCCGGGAACCGCGUGCGCCUCUGCGCAUGUGCGCGAGGGCCGGCAGGACGCGUGCUGGAGGCGGGGUCUGCGCCUGGACGGGAUGCUCGGGGAGCCGUGGCUGAGGGUCUUUAUCAGGACGCCAACCGGGCAGGAGAGCGGGACACACUGCAGGGCCGCGCGGGCGAGAACUUCUGCCCAGCAACGGGCACCACUCAACGAGCGCUGGCGUCCGGGAUACAGAAGGAGCUCCCCCAAGUCAGGGAGGACAAGGCGGACCGGCAGAAAACAGGCCAAACGCUUAAACGGACGAGGCCCCAGAGAGGCCGUGGGGACAGACCCGCAGCCGGGGCCACGCGG
rnacentral:lncRNA from 1 species